rnacentral:rRNA from 1 species
GAUGAACGCUGGCGGCGUGCCUAAUACAUGCAAGUCGAGCGAAUGGAUUAAGAGCUUGCUCUUAUGAAGUUAGCGGCGGACGGGUGAGUAACACGUGGGUAACCUGCCCAUAAGACUGGGAUAACUCCGGGAAACCGGGGCUAAUACCGGAUAACAUUUUGAACCGCAUGGUUCGAAAUUGAAAGGCGGCUUCGGCUGUCACUUAUGGAUGGACCCGCGUCGCAUUAGCUAGUUGGUGAGGUAACGGGUCACCAAGGCAACGAUGCGUAGCCGACCUGAGAGGGUGAUCGGCCACACUGGGACUGAGACCCGGCCCAGACUCAUACUGGAGGCAGCAGUAGGGAAUCUUCCGCAAUGGACGAAAGUCUGACGGAGCAACGCCGCGUGAGUGAUGAAGGCUUUCGGGUCGUAAAACUCUGUUGUUAGGGAAGAACAAGUGCUAGUUGAAUAAGCUGGCACCUUGACGGUACCUAACCAGAAAGCCACGGCUAACUACGUGCCAGCCGCCGCGGUAA